rnacentral:rRNA from 1 species
AGUCGAACGAGACUGUGGGGGCAACUCUGCAGUUUAGUGGCGGACGGGUGAGUAACACGUGGGUAACCUGCCCGGAAGUGGGGAAUACCUCGGGGAAACUCGAGCUAAUACCGCAUGACAUCUUUGGGACGAGAGUCCUGACGAUCAAAGCGGGGUCGCAAGAUCUCGCGCUACCGGAUGGGCCCGCGCCCGAUUAGCUAGUUGGCGAGGUAAUGGCUCACCAAGGCUUCGAUCGGUAACCGGCCUGAGAGGGCGAUCGGUCACACCGGAACUGAGACACGGUCCGGACUCCUACGGGAGGCAGCAGUGGGGAAUCUUGCGCAAUGGGCGAAAGCCUGACGCAGCAACGCCGCGUGGAGGAUGAAGGCCCUUGGGUUGUAAACUCCUGUCGGUUGGGAAGAAAUCUUACGGGGUUAAUACCUCCGUAAGUUGACUGUACCAGCAAAGGAAGCCCCGGCUAACUCUGUGCCAGCAGCCGCGGUAAUACAGAGGGGGCCAGCGUUAUUCGGAAUUAUUGGGCGUAAAGGGCGCGUAGGCGGCCAUGCGUGUCUUUCGUGAAAUCCCUCGGCUUAACUGAGGACGUGCGGAAGAAACUGCAAGGCUUGAGUCCGGGAGAGGGGGGGUGGAAUUCCCAGUGUAGCGGUGAAAUGCGUAGAUAUUGGGAGGAACACCGGUGGCGAAGGCGGCCCCCUGGACCGGUACUGACGCUGAGGUGCGAAAGCGUGGGUAGCAAACGGGAUUAGAUACCCCGGUAGUCCACGCCGUAAACGAUGGGCACUUGGUGUCGCGGGUAUCGACCCCUGCGGUGCCGAAGCUAACGCAUUAA